rnacentral:rRNA from 1 species
UACGUAGGUGGCGAGCGUUGUCCGGAUUUACUGGGCGUAAAGAGCGCGCAGGCGGCUGGUCAAGUCCGAUGUGAAAGCUCCCGGCUUAACUGGGAAAUUGCAUCGGAAACUGAUCGGCUGGAAGGUGGGAGAGGGUAGCGGAAUUCCCGGUGUAGUGGUGAAAUGCGUAGAGAUGUGGAGGAACACCGAUGGCGAAGGCAGCCUUCUGGGCCAACACUGACGCUCAGGGACGAAAGCUAGGGGAGCGAAUGGG